AGAGUUGAUCAUGGCUCAGGACGAACGCUGGCGGCGUGCCUAACACAUGCAAGUCGAGCGGGGACAUUGCGACGGAGGCGAAGUACUCGUACGGAGUCAAAGAUGUAAUGUCUAGCGGCGGACGGGUGAGUAACGCGUGAGCAACCUGUCCCUUACAGGGGGAUAACACAGCGAAAGUUGUACUAAUACCGCAUAAGACCACAGGAUGACAUCGUCCAGGGGUCAAAGGAGCAAUCCGGUAAGGGGUGGGCUCGCGUCCGAUUAGAUAGUUGGUGAGGUAACGGCCCACCAAGUCGACGAUCGGUAGCCGACCUGAGAGGGUGAUCGGCCACAUUGGGACUGAGACACGGCCCAAACUCCUACGGGAGGCAGCAGUGGGGAAUAUUGGGCAAUGGGGGGAAACCCUGACCCAGCAACGCCGCGUGAGGGAAGAAGGUUUUCGGAUCGUAAACCUCUGUCCCAGGUGAAGAGGAAGAGACGGUAGCCUGGGAGGAAGCCCCGGCUAACUACGUGCCAGCCGCCGC
rnacentral:rRNA from 1 species